rfam:Oryza sativa Japonica Group DNA, chromosome 5, cultivar: Nipponbare, complete sequence.
AAUAAGUGUAGUUUUGCACUAUUCACGUUCAACGUUUAACCGUUCGUCUUAUUUGAAAUUUUUUUAUGAUUAGUAUUUUUAUUGCUAUUAGAUGAUAAAACAUGAAUAGUAUUUUUUGUGUGACUAAAUAUUUUCAAAUUUUUCAAAUAAGACAGACGGUCAAACGUUGGGCACGGAUAUCCACGGCUGCACUUAUU